rnacentral:misc_RNA from 1 species
UUGGUGUUGGGCUCUAGUUGUGGAUCGCUACAACUGGCCUCGAAGAUAAUGACGGCGUCCCAGAAGGAACCGGUACGAGGAGCUUUUAAUCAAGCAUGUACGCGGGAAGAUUCUGCGGGCGACGGUCUUUUACCACUGCUUCUCUGGAAGCAUUUUCAAGUGUUGACCUCGGAUCAGGUAGGAAUACCCGCUGAACUUAA